rnacentral:rRNA from 1 species
GACGAACGCUGGCGGCGUGCCUAAUACAUGCAAGUUGAGCGCUGAAGGUUGGUACUUGUACCGACUGGAUGAGCAGCGAACGGGGGCGUAACGCGUGGGGAAUCUGCCUCUGAGCGGGGGACAACAUUUGGAAACGAAUGCUAAUACCGCAUAAAAACUUUAAACACAAGUUUUAAGCUUGAAAGAUGCAAUUGCAUCACUCAAAGAUGAUCCCGCGUUGUAUUAGCUAGCUGGUGAGGUAAAGGCUCACCAAGGGGAUGAUACAUAGCCGACCUGAGAGGCUACUCGGCCUCGUUGGGAUGAGAACACGACCCGAACUCCUACGAGAGACAGCAGUAGGAGAUCUUCGGCGGUGGACGAAAUUCGGACCGUGCAACGCCGCGUGAGUGCAGAAUGUUUUCGUGUCGUGAGACUCUGUUAGUAGAGAGGAUCGUUAAGGAGAGUGAAAAGCGCAGCUAAUGACAGUAACUGCCCAGAAAGGUACGGCUAACUACGUG